CAACCCGCAACGACCAAGAGACUUCGCCUUGUCCCUCCGGCCCUCCCCUACCAAACUCCCCUCUCUCUCGCCGCGCAACAGCACCACCACGCGCUGCCGAAUCGCUGUGUCAUGGAGGUCGCCGGCGCCCGCGGGUCCGGCGGCGGCGGCGGCGGCGGACCGGCGCCGUUCCUGCUGAAGACGUACGAGAUGGUGGACGACCCGUCCAGCGACGCGGUGGUGUCGUGGAGCGACGCCUCUGACGGGAGCUUCGUGGUCUGGAACCCGCCCGAGUUCGCGGCCCGGAUGCUGCCCACCUACUUCAAGCACAGCAACUUCUCCAGCUUCAUCCGCCAGCUCAACACCUACGGAUUUCGCAAAAUUGACCCGGAGCGCUGGGAAUUUGCUAAUGAGUACUUUGUCAAGGGACAGCAGCACCUGCUGAAGAAUAUCCACAGGCGAAAGCCCAUCCACAGCCACAGCCAUCAACCUGGUGCCCUGCCUGACAAUGAGCGUGCAUUAUUUGAGGAUGAGAUUGACCGGCUUUCACAGGAGAAAGCUGCCCUUCAGGCUGACCUCUGGAAGUUCAAUGAGCAGCAGUCGGGGGCCGUGAGCCAGAUUGAAUAUCUUGAGCAGCGGGUGCUCGACAUGGAGCAACGGCAGGUCAAGAUGCUCAGCUUCCUGCAGCAGGCUAGCAAGAACCCUCAGUUUGUCAGCAAGCUCGCUAAGAUGGCAGAGACCUCCCCGAUCUUCGCAGACGCAUUUCACAAGAAGCGAAGGCUACCUGGGUUGGAAUGCAGCGCCGAGGCCGCUGAAACUACCAGUAGCUUUUAUGAUGACCACAGCAGCACCUCCAGGCAAGAAAUGGGCAACGCUUUGAACCAGCACUUCUCCGACAAGCUGAAGCUGGGGCUCUGUCCUGCGAUGACCGAGAGCAACCUCACCCAAAGCUCGCACGAAGAUAACGGGAGUCCUCACGGGAAGCAUCCAAAUUGCGAGAGACCGGGCGUGGAGUGCCUCCCGCUAGUUCCACAGAUGAUGGAGCUCUCUGACACUGGGACAUCCAUCUGCCCCUCGAAAGGGCAGAGCGUGAGCUUCGCCGCAGCCGCGAACAACGACGGGCUCCUGCCGUGCCACCUCAACCUCACCCUCGCGUCGUGCUCCAUGGACGUCAACAGAAGCCAAACCUCCGACGCGAAUGUGAACGCUAUGGAAGAGGAGGACAGCCCAGCGGAGGCGACCACUACAGCCACCAUGGAGGAAGACGACGGCAUCGGCACACGCCAGGGUGAUACGCAGCACAAGGUUUCAGGCGACUCAGCCACUGCAGUAGUGGACCCGACGGUGCCGCCACAUGGGGACAGCCAGCAAGCUCCCCCUCCACACGAAGAAGCUGCAGCUCCCCCUGUUGUGGCGAACGACAAGUUCUGGGAGCAGUUCCUGACGGAGAGGCCGGGGUGCACGGAAGCCGAGGAAGCAAGCUCCACGCUGCGGAGGGAAGAUCCGUACCAGGACACGAGGAGUGACAGGAGAGAGAUGGGUCAGCUGAAGCUCUGACCUUCAGGAAUCUGGUUCCACGAUGCACUAGCUUUCCUCCACAUGUAUCAUGUACGUGUGGAUGCAGCAGCAGCACUGGCAUCGAUCAGCAGCAGCAGGGCUAACAUCACCGAUCCAGCAAAUGAAGCAAAUCACAUCAGAUGAGAAGUUGAGAACACAAUAGCACGACGGAGCACAGGUCAAGCGUAAGACCUUCUAGGGAGGCCACGGCCACUCGAUCGGGGAGGUUGUGUGGCGACGGUGCAGCAAGGCCUGAUGCGGAAGACGGCAGGCGCAGACCUGCCCUCAGGACAAGGCGUGGCUGUGAGGGAUUAUCGCCGCGGAAACGUGCCGCUCGAUCGUUGUCUUUCGGUCCAAUCCGCAGACCGCCACGUGAUCAUUUCUGCUUCCGCCGUCACCGCUCGCCAGGCACGAUGCGAGUCGC